AUUAUUGGUCAGUCACUGCUCCCUCUCCUAAACUAAGAUGGAAUGGAUUUCUUUAAUAUUCAAGACUGUGAGCUAAGAUCAUCAGUGAAGACUCAGGAGUUCAAGCUUCCUGGAGUGGAUUCUUCAGAUUUCCAGACAACUAUUUUCUCCCAAAAAAUUGCACCAAGCAAAAAAUUACCUCAAUACACAUAAUGGCAAGGAAAUCUUUUGAAGAAAAAAUUGCAAAUGUUUUGGCAUACAUAAGGAGUAGCACAUAUCCUGAAGGAAUGAAUAAAGCAGGCAGACUGAACCUGCGUCGAUAUGCUGUCAACUUUUCAUUGGAAGAGGGGAGAUUGUUCCAUUCAGCAAAAGGAAGAAAGGUUGUCGUUGUGCAUACCAUGAAAGAAGCCCUGCAACUCUUUAAAAGG